AGUGAACGCUGGCGGCAGGCCUAACACAUGCAAGUCGAGCGGCAGCGGGUCCCCGCGAGGGGAUGCCGGCGAGCGGCGGACGGGUGAGGAACACAUCGGAAUCUGCCUGGUUGUGGGGGAUAACGUAGGGAAACUUACGCUAAUACCGCAUGCGACCCUGAGUCGACGGACUGGGGGUGAAAGUGAGGGACCUUCGGGCCGUCACGCGACCAGAUGAGCCGAUGUCGGAUUAGCUAGUUGGCGGGGUAACGGCCCGCCAAGGCGACGAUCCGUAGCUGGUCUGAGAGGAUGAUCAGCCACACUGGGACUGAGACACGGCCCAGACUCCUACGGGAGGCAGCAGUGGGAAUCUUGGACAAUGGGCGCAAGCCUGAUCCC
rnacentral:rRNA from 1 species